UGGGGAAUAUUGCACAAUGGGCGCAAGCCUGAUGCAGCCAUGUCGCGUGUGUGAAGAAGGCCUUCGGGUUGUAAAGCACUUUCAGCGGGGAGGAAGGCGGUGAGGUUAAUAACCUCAUCGAUUGACGUUACCCGCAGAAGAAGCACCGGCUAACUCCGUGCCAGCAGCCGCGGUAAUACGGAGGGUGCAAGCGUUAAUCGGAAUUACUGGGCGUAAAGCGCACGCAGGCGGUUGAUUGAGUCAGAUGUGAAAUCCCCGGGCUUAACCCGGGAAUUGCAUCUGAUACUGGUCAGCUAGAGUCUUGUAGAGGGGGGUAGAAUUCCAUGUGUAGCGGUGAAAUGCGUAGAGAUGUGGAGGAAUACCGGUGGCGAAGGCGGCCCCCUGGACAAAGACUGACGCUCAGGUGCGAAAGCGUGGGGAGCAAACAGG
rnacentral:rRNA from 1 species